rnacentral:rRNA from 1 species
UUUUGUUUGUAUAGACAUAUUCAAUUCAAAAUAUCAAUGUUCAUAAAAGGUUACCCGCUGAAUUUAAGCAUAUUAUUAAGCGGAGACAAGAGAAAAUAACAAUGAUUCCUUUAGUAACGGCGAGUGAAAAAGGAUAAUCUCGAAGGUGAAGGGAAAUCCCGGUGUACCUUAUGUACGUUUUGUGUGACACUGAUUGUUGUGUUGAAUCAUGCAAGAAAUCCCGUGAAACUCGGAGAUCAAUGUUGAUGGCAAAAACGUAUUGUAUUAAGAGUAACUCUGCUUGAGAAUGCAGAGCGAAUGCAUGGUAAUUCACAUGCAAAGAUAAAAAUUUUUGGAGGUCGAUAGUGAACAAGUACCGCGAGGGAAAUUUGAAAAGUUAGCUUAACAGCAGUUGAAAAAGCACUUGAAAUUGUAUGAAGGGAAGUUUAGAAUACAAUUUUGAAGCGAUUAAUUUUAGUCGCAAUAUUACAUUGUAAUUCUAUCCCCCGUCUUGGAACACGGACCAAGGAGUUGAUUUUGAUAUCGAUUCGAUGGUUAAUGGAAAAUACCAACGGAGUAGAGAAGUCGAAUGUUUAAGAUGUUAGGAUCAAAUCCGAAAGGUGGUGAACUACGCUUGAGUUGAUUGAAGCCGGGGGAAAUCUCGGUGGAGGAUCUAACUGGUGCUGACGUGCAACUCGCUCAGGAAACUUGGGUGUAGGGGCGAAAGACUAAUCGAACCACCUAGUAGCUGGUUUCUUUCGAAGUUUCCCUUAGGAUAGCAGUUUACUAUAAGUAGUUACAUGCGGUAAAGCAAAUGAUUAGUUGGUUUGGAUGAUUCUGUCGUCCAAUCCGCAUUCUCAAACUCUGAACGUGUGUAAAAUACGAUGGUGAGCUAGUGGGUCAUUGCUGGUAAGCAGGACUGACGAAGAGGGAUGAACCUAUAUAUUUCAUAAGGCGCAAAAUUGCAGAGAGAUCAGGUACCACAAAGGUGGUUGACUCAUUUUGACAGUAGGACGGUGGCCAUGGAAGUCGGAAUCCGCUAAGGAGUGUGUAACAACUCACCUACCGAAUGAAUCAGCGCCGAAAAUGGAUUGCACUGCACUCUGCAGCCGAGUGGAAUUUUCGAACGUUAAAGAAAUGAUCGAAUGUAGGAAGAUAACGUUAUUGAAUUGAAGAUCGUACGCAAGUGUGAUCAGAUCGAUAAUGCGAGCAGAUCUUGGUAGUAGUAGCAGUUACUUAAGUUUUAUCCUUAAGGACCGUUGAGGGGAAGGUUUUCUCGUGAACAUUGCAGGUACGAGGGUUAAUCGGAAGUUAAGAAUAAAUCGUAAUAGAUGAGUUCGAAAACGUGUGAGAUUUAUAUUUCGCAAUUAUAUUUGUUGUAAUUUAUUUUCGGUAACGAAAAGGAAAUAUGUAAAAUUUAUGUAAAACUUUGGCGGACAGUCGAUCUGCCUUAACGAGUGAUAUCCAAUGGAUUAGGUCAUCUAGAGAUGUUGGAAGUAUUCUCGGAAUAGCUGUGUAUUUUCAUAGUAAAGUUUGAACGUAGAUUCCAUGAAAUGCAUAUUUUGCAGUAACAAAUGUAGCCGUACCGACAACCGCAUCAGGUCCCUUGAGUGAGAAGCUUAUGGUUAGUAGAGGAAAGUAGGCAAAGGAAGUCGGCAAACUAAAUCUGCAACUUCGGGAAAAGGAUUGGCUCUGGUGGCUUGAUUUUAACUAAUAUUAAAUGGGCUUUGAAUUUAUUCGAAGUUUCUGUUUUUUAAUGGUUUGAUCAAUUAUAUUCCACGCCAGAACUGGUGCAAACGGGUGAACCCGACUGCUUACUUAAAGCAAAGCAAUGUGAUACUGACAAAAUCUGAUUAACGCAUUGUGAUUUCUGCUCAGUGCUUAUUUUGUUAUCUUCGUUGAAAGACGAAUAAGCGCGGGUAAACAGCGGGAGUAACUAUGACUCUCUUAAGGUAGCCAAAUGCCUCGUCAUCUAAUUAGUGACGCGCAUGAAUGGAUCAAUGAGGUUCGUGCUGUCUCUGCCUGCUAUUUAGCGAACCUACAGCCAAGGGAACGGGCUUGGAAAUUUCAGCGGGGCAAGAAGACCCUCUUGAGCUUGACUCUAACUUGAUGUUGAUAGCUAACUAUCGAGGUGUAGCCUAGGUGGGAGAUAUAUCAUCCUUGAAAUACCACCACUCGAUUCGUUAUCUGUCUUAUUUGGUUAUUAAAAUAAUCAUUUGCGUUUAUCAUUUUCCAAAGACACCGUCAGGUGGGGAGUUUGGCUGGGGCGGCACAUCCGUUAGAAGAUAACGCUGAUGUACAAAGAGGAACUCAGUAAGGACAGAAACCUUACGUUGACGAAAAGGCGAAAAGUUCCUUUAAGUGAGAUUUUCAGUAAAAAUAUCACGUGAGAAAUCAUGGCCUAUCGAUCCCUUCUUUCUUGUUGAAUUCAAAAGAGGGGUGUCAGAAAAGUUACCACAGGGAUAACUGGCUUGUGGCAGCCAAGCGUUCAUAGCGACGUUGCUUUUUGAUUCUUCGAUGUCGGCUCUUCCUAUCAUUGAGGUGUAGAAGUCUCAAAGUGUUGGAUUGUUCACCCACAAACAGGGAACGUGAGCUGGGUUUAGACCGUCGUGAGACAGGUUAGUUUUACCCUACUGUUUUGUAUCAAGUUUUAAGAGUAAUCAUUGUUAGUACGAGAGGAACACUUUGUUCAGACUGUUGGUGUGGAGUGGGGGGAACACCUCAGCUCCAAAGCUACGUCUGUAACGGGAAGAACUGAAAGCCUCUAAGUUUGGACCGAAGCUCGAUAAAUUUU